rnacentral:snoRNA from 1 species
GACCUCUUGGUGCUGACCACAGGCUGUGUUCUUACACUCGCUGUACAGGAAAAGGAGGCAACAUAAACCUACCCCAGAUACACCUCAGCCCAGGCCCUGUGCCUCCAUGGGGAGAGAGGA